rnacentral:hammerhead_ribozyme from 1 species
AUCCAGCUGACGAGUCCCAAAUGGGACGAAACUGGAU